UAAGUGUUUGUUGUAUGUUAUUCUUUAAGCUUAGUUUCUUCUAGCUUCCAAUGAAACGAAACCUUCUUCUUCUUUCGUUACGGCUUCCGAUCUGCGACGAGGACGUCUUCCCUCUUCUUGUUAUCAGCGGUUGACUCCAACAGCUUCACCGAGGUCUUCCUUCAUCUUUUUGAGCAUCCGGCGGCGGAGGAUGGCAAUGACGAGAUCUCUAGGUUUCUGAGCUUCUGGCGACAGCAGUAGUGGCAACUUCAGCUUCUAUUUUCUUUCUAAGCUUCCGUCUCCCUUCUAGCUUCUUCCUAGCAGCGGCGGCUUCUCCGAUCUAUUUUUGUUCUGAGCUUUCGGUGGCAGAGGAUGGCAAAGCAGCUCUCAGAAGCUCCGGCGGUGGAGUGACGGCAAUUGAGCACCUCGGCGGUAUCAGGCCACGACUUCGGCAGCUUCUCCACGUUCUCAUCUGGUAUGUUCUCUCUUCUCCAUGACUCCAUCUCUUUCGCCGGUUGCUUCAGAUCUGAGCCGGAAACUAGGUGCCAUAGCCUUAAGAUCUCCAGUUCGACGGUAACAUAUCAGACCAAGAAGCCGUCUUCUUGCUGAACCAAAGUAAAGAAUACCAUCGGCUUAGACUGUGGUGACAAAUUUGAAAUCCUUAAUUUUUCUCCUUUGCGGCUCCUACGCGACUUGACGACUCCGGCUAGCGUCGCUGACUUCUCUCAGUUCUCGGAUAUGCAACAAGCUUAGCUAGGAAGAUGCAUGAGGAAGCUAAAGAACUACUUGUGGUGAGUCUAAAACUUAGAGCUUCUUCACACCUCCUCUAGCAUGGUUCCUAUGAUCUCAACCUAAUUACCCUUAUGUAUUUGGAGACAGAUGGGUGUUUAAUUUCCUUAGAAUUCAUGCAAGGAUUUCUUGUUUAGGAACUAACACUUUGAAUAACGCGAUGAUUAUUAUUGCAUGGAACCAUUCAAGAUCCAUUGUGUUGCAAUCUACUUGAUACCAAAUAUAUUGGGCAUUCCUAUUUCUCUUUCCUGUUGUGUGUAAAUCUCUGGAAAAAUCAAACUGGCACAUUGUAGGGCUUUUUAUGUGGUGGUCUCGAUGAGAAUAUAUUUUCUGUGUAUUGAUCAA